rnacentral:rRNA from 1 species
UGGGGAAUUUUGGACAAUGGGCGCAAGCCUGAUCCAGCCAUUCCGCGUGCAGGAUGAAGGCCUUCGGGUUGUAAACUGCUUUUGGACGGAACGAAAAGCCAUUUCCUAAUACGGGGUGGUCAUGACGGUACCGUCAGAAUAAGCACCGGCUAACUACGUGCCAGCAGCCGCGGUAAUACGUAGGGUGCAAGCGUUACUCGGAAUUACUGGGCGUAAAGCGUGCGUAGGUGGUGAGUUAAGUCUGUCGUGAAAGCCCCGGCUCAAGCCUGGGAAUGGCGAUGGAUACUGGCUCGCUAGAGUGCGGUAGAGGAGAGUGGAAUUCCCGGUG